CUGUAGCUAGGGGCUGGUGCGCUGUAACUGGGGGCGGAGUAUGCAGGGGCACUAUAACUAGGAGCUGGAGCGCUGUAAGCGGGAGCUGCGUAUGCAGGGGCACUGUAGCUAGGUGCUGGAGCACUGUAGCUAGCGGCUGGUGCACUGUAACUGGGAGCGGCGUACGCAGCUGCACUGUAACUAGGAGCUGGUGCACUGUAAGCGGGAGCGGAGUAUGCAGGGGCACUGUAACUAGCUGCCGGAGCACUGUAACUGGCAGCAGAGUAUGCAGGGGCACUAUAGCUAGGGGCUGGAGCGCUGUAAGCGGGAGCGGAGUAUGCAGGAGCACUGUAGCUAGCGGCUGGUGCGCUGUAACUGGGAGCGGCGUAUGCAGCGGCACUGUAACUAGGAGCUGGUGCACUGUAAGCGGGAGCGGAGUAUGCAGGGGCACUGUAGCUAGCUGCCGGAGCACUGUAACUGGCAGCAGAGUAUGCAGGGGCACUAUAGCUAGGGGCUGGUGCGCUGUAACUGGCGGCGGAGUAUGCAGGGGCACUGUAACUAGGUGCAGAGUAAGCGGGAGCACUGUAGCUAGGUGCUGGAGCACUGUAAGCUGGAGCGGAGUAUGCGGGAGCGCUGUAGCUAGAAGCUGAGUAAGCAGGGACACUGUAACUGGGAGCAGAGUAGGCAGGGGCACUGUAGCUAGGAGCUGGUGCGCUGUAACUGGCAGCAGCGUAUGCACCAGCAC